AUGGAUGUGAAUUUUGUUGGUAGGAUUAGUUUUGGAAACAACGCGUAUAGAGGGAAUUUUAAUCCUAGGCCUUAUCCUAGUAAUCCUUCUAAUAAUUAUGGAAAUUCCUUUAAUAACUCUUAUGGAAAUUUUAAUAAGAUGCCAUCUAAAUUUGAGAGUAGUGUUAAAGAGUUUAUGAAUUCGCAAAAGAAUUUUAAUGCUUUGCUUGAAGAGAAAUUGCUUAAAGUUGAUGAUUUGGCUAGGAACGUUGAUAGAAUUUCUCUCGAGAUUUAUUCUUUAAAGCUUAGAUCUAUUCCUCCUAAGCAUGAUAUCAAUGAGUCUCUCAAAGUUAUGAGAAUUUCCAUUGAUGAGUGCAAAGAAAGAACCGCUAGGAUGCGUGCUUCCAAAGAUGCCUUUAUUAAAGCGUGUUCUUCUAAUCCCUAUGAAAAUCAAGAUGAAGAUCUAAAAGUUAUUGAUGUGUCCCCCAUUAAAUCUUUGUUUUGCAAUAUGAAUCUUGAUGAAUCUGAAGAUUAUCUUCCUUUACCUAGAAGGCGUUCUAAGAAUUCUGAGUUUUUAGAUCUUGAUCAUGAAAUUGAUAAAAGUGGGAUUGAAAGAAAUAAAAAUCGAGAUGUUGCUAAACCCACUAUUUUGGAUCUGAAGGAAUUUAAUUAUGAAAAUUGCUCUUUAAUUGAUUGUAUUUCCUUGUUGCAAUCUGUGUUAAAUUCUCCUCAUGCUUAUAGUCAAAAUAAGGCCUUUACCGAACACAUUGUUGAUGCCUUAAUGCAAUCUUAUGAAGAAAAGCUUGAGUUGAAAGUUUCUAUCCCUAGAAAACUCCAUGAUGAGUGGGAACCUACUAUCAAAAUUAAAAUUAAAAAUUAUGAGUUUCAUGCCUUGUGUGAUCUGGGAGCUAGUGUCUCUACUAUUCCCAAAACUUUAUGUGAUUUGCUAGACUUUCGUGAUUUUGAUGAUUGCUCUCUAAACUUGCAUCUUGCGGAUUCCACUAUUAAAAAGCCUAUGGGAAGAAUUAAUGAUGUGCUUAUUGUUGCAAAUAGGAAUUAUGUGCCCGUAGAUUUUAUCGUUCUUGAUAUAGAUUGCAAUCCUUCAUGUCCUAUUAUUCUUGGUAGACCUUUCCUUAGAAUGAUUGGUGCAAUUAUUGAUAUGAAGGAAGGGAAUAUUAGAUUCCAAUUUCCCUUAAAGAAGGGCAUGGAACACUUCCCUAGAAAGAAAAUGAAAUUACCAUAUGAAUCUAUCAUGAGAGCCACUUCUGGAUUGCCUACCAAAGAUGGCAAUACCUAG
rnacentral:rRNA from 1 species